UGUAAAGCCGGUCUCAGUUCGGAUUGAAGUCUGCAACUCGACUUCAUGAAGCUAGAAUCGCUAGUAAUCCCAAAUCAGAAUGUUGGGGUGAAUACGUUCCCGGGUGUUGUACACACCGCCCGUCACGCCAUGGGAGUCAGUAAUACCCGAAGCUGGUAGCCUAACCUUUUAGGAGGGGGCCAUCGAAGGUAGGACUGGUGACUGGGGUGAAGUCGUAACAAGGUAUC
rnacentral:rRNA from 1 species